CCACUGCCUCCACACUGCCCGGUAUGCCUUCCAGGAAGACUCCGCCAAGGAAUCCGAUACCAAGCCCAUCAGACCUCGAAAUCGAGCUUCCAUAAGGAGUCUGGACACCGCAGACCGGUCCGCUGCGCCUCUGGCGCUGCCUCGCGAAACCGCUCCCACUGCAAGCGAGACAAUGCAUCAGCCACCACGUUCUGAACACCCGGGACAUGCUGCGCC